rnacentral:rRNA from 1 species
GUGGGGAAUCUUGCGCAAUGGGGGAAACCCUGACGCAGCAACGCCGCGUGGGUGAUGAAGGCCUUCGGGUCGUAAAGCCCUGUCAGGUGGAAAGAAUUGCAUCGGCGUGAACAAUACCGAUGCUUGACGGUACCACCGGAGGAAGCACCGGCUAACUCCGUGCCAGCAGCCGCGGUAAUACGGAGGGUGCAAGCGUUGUUCGGAAUUACUGGGCGUAAAGCGCGUGCAGGCGGUUGGGCAAGUCAGAUGUGAAAGCCUUCCGCUUAACGGAAGAAGUGCAUUUGAAACUACCCAGCUAGAGUUCGGAAGAGGAGAGUGGAAUUCCUGGUGUAGAGGUGAAAUUCGUAGAUAUCAGGAGGAACACCAGUGGCGAAGGCGGCUCUCUGGUCCGAUACUGACGCUGAGAUGCGAAAGCGUGGGGAGCAAACAGGAUUAGAAACCCGAGUAGUCC